CGGCACUAUCCAUGAGAUGCUGCCCUUCAACAAGCAGCUCCUUUCCAGCUGCCUCCUGGGCUGUCUCUUAACUGAUGCUCGACUUUGUAAUACACAUUCCAGAAAACCGUGCACUUUAUCGACAUUACUUUCAGAACUAUGAAAUACCUAAAUGCAAUCAGAAAACAAUUUACGAAAGCCGGUGGGAUAAAAUACAAACGGCAAGAGAAGUCUUCAGAAGCUUCUUUCACACUUUAUUUCAUAGGCUUGCAUGUGAAAUGUAUGAACAGAUAAGGUUUAAAUACUUUCAGAUAGGUCCGCCGUACUCCUUAAUUCACAGGACGGUAUUUCUCAUCAAACAUUUGGUCAACCUAAGAAAGAGGGGGGAAAAAGCCCUCAGCAAUGGGGAAAAUACAUACAGUGAAGUCAGUCAGAAAGGCCUCACAACAUGCGUGGCUUUUAGCUGCACAAAAAACCUUAUGAGAAAAAUAACCACAACGCGACAAGGUUUUCUGUAUUAGUUUGAAGUAUUUCUGACAAAUAUCACUUACAAUACUUACUAUGAACAACCUGUACACUUAUGGUGCCUCUCUUGUUUUCUUCUUUCAUAUUCCAUUACAUCUUCAUUAUGCUGCUUGAAAAGCUACAAAAGCAAUAUAUGUGAAAUGGCUAUACAACACACAACCGGAACAACAGAACAAAAGAAAUCUACCACUUUUUCCUGAAAAAAUGAAAUUCUAAUUAUCAGAAUGUAAGCCAACACGUAAUUAUUGGCAAUCAGGAAGAUAAAGGGUAAAUUAGAUGUAUAUUAUAAGUUGGCCGGUAAGACAUGAUUUUCACACCUCCCUCCCUUCAACAGGGAGGCGAGACACAGACAGAGAAGCAGCAGAUGCCCCAUCCCUGGAGGGGCUCAAGGCCAGGUUGGAUGGGUCCCUCAGCCUCAGCCCCACCCACAGCAGAAGAAAGGAACUGGAUGUGUUUCCAGGCCCCUUCAGAUUCAAAAUGUUCUAUGAUUUUUCACUGGCCAAUUUUUUUUUUCUGGCUCUUAACCCACCCCAAAAAUAAAUGGGGGGACCAAGAAGAGGAGGGAUACACCCCUGCCCUGGAAGUUGUGGUCCUCAUGCGUGCUGCUUAUCCUUUAUAUUUUCUCCUGAAAGAAACUACAUCCUGCUUGUUCCAACAUCAAGCCCAAGAGCUUUUAUACGGUGAAUUGCAACACGGACCUGGUGAGGCAUAAGUAAUCCACACAUCAUACUUCAGUCUUGACACCUGUCCAUUACCACAACUAACAGGUUGUAGCUAUUGCCUUCAGAUCACUACGAUCUGGAAAUGGUUAAGUUCAACAGAACCAAAUAAGAACACUUACAAAAGCCCACAGGGCAGCACUGGUGGUGAAAGCCAGCCCGACUCCAAACCAGUUCGGUUGGUCGUAAGUACGCUUUCUUGCAAAAAAUGCAGAACGAGUCAAAGCUGCAAAGGCAGAAGAUUUUAAACACGUUAACACUGUUUCAGAUUCAAACUACCAAGUCAGUUAUUCUCAGUAACACAAUCAAGAAAAUAAUAAAUCUGAUCACAUUCCCCUCUCACUGCCUCACGUGAGCUCCCGCCCGCCAUCCAACACGGACACCUCGGGCAGACCCUCCCCAGGCCGCCACCACCGCCACGGGGCAGCGCAGCACCCCAGCGUGAAACGAGUGGGGUUCACAACUAAGCGAGGAAAGGGAGGCGUCACCGCGGGCUGCUGGAGCUCCGGCCGCGGAGCUGACGGGUACACCUGCAGGGCACGGGUCACAGUGAAGCCCCGCCGGUACACGCUCACACGUAACGGUCACGAGCAACGGAAGGGCUCUUAAGCGGCUACAACAGACACCCCAUCGGCCCGCUGCCGCCGCUCACCGAGGCCGGGCCCGCCACCCGCCAGCCGCAGCCACUUCGCUGCCCUCAGCGGCGCCGCCAUCUUGUCCGCCGGGCGCGGGGCGGUCGCAGUUCCACAGGCUGCGCCAAAGGGCGCCUCCUGUCGGCCGGGCGGAACCCGCGCGCCCUGCCAGGCGCGGAACCGGUUCUGCGGGGCGCCGGGACGAGCGGUACGACAGCGGCGCGCGUAGGCAACCGCGGCCGCAGGGAACAGCGCGUCCUCCAAAGCCGACAAGCGGCCGGGCUGAGGGCCGGGCUCAGAACUUAGCGCCCUCGCUGCACUGACGCGCUUCCCGACCAGCCGCCUCGCGCCGUGACUCACCAGGCAGGGCGGGGCGGGGCGGGGC
ensembl:lncRNA